CCUACGGGAGGCAGCAGUGAGGAAUAUUGGUCAAUGGACGCAAGUCUGAACCAGCCAUGCCGCGUGCAGGAAGACGGCUCUAGGAGUUGUAAACUGCUUUUGUAGGAGGGUAAACGCAGAUACGCGUAUCUGUCUGAAAGUAUCGUACGAAUAAGGAUCGGCUAACUCCGUGCCAGCAGCCGCGGUAAUACGGAGGAUUCAAGCGUUAUACGGAUUUAUUGGGUUUAAAGGGUGCGUAGGCGGUCGGAUAAGUUAGAGGUGAAAUCCCGAGGCUCAAACUCGGAAUUGCCUUUGAUACUGUGCGGCUAGAGAGUAGGUGAGGUUGGCGGAAUGUGUGGUGUAGCGGUGAAAUGCUUAGAGAUCAUACAGAACACCGAUUGCGAAGGCAGCUUACCAAGCUACUUCUGACGCUGAGGCACGAAAGCGUGGGGAGCAAACAGGAUUAGAUACCCCAGUAGUC
rnacentral:rRNA from 1 species